rnacentral:misc_RNA from 1 species
UGCUCAUUACAACAAAUGCUGAUGUAAUCUAAUAACAAGAUUCCAUC